GGCAAGAUGGCCGAGCGGUCCAAGGCGUGUGACUCAAGCGAAAGCUUACCUGAUCUUCAGGUUUCUCAUCGGUUUACACCGGCAGGGGUUCGAAUCCCCUUCUUGUCA